rnacentral:rRNA from 1 species
AUGAACGCUGGCGGCGUGCCUAUUACAUGCAAGUCGAGCGAACGGACGAGAAGCUUGCUUCUCUGAUGUUCGCGGCGGACGGGUGUGUAACACGUGGAUAACCUACCUAUAAGACUGGUAUAACUUCGGGAAACCGGAACUAAUACCGGAUAAUAUUUUGAACCGCAUGGUUCUAAAGUGAAAGACGGUCUUGCUGUCACUUAUCGAUGGAUCCGCGCUGCAUUAGCUAGUUGGUCAGGUAACGGCUUACCAAGGCAACGAUGCAUAGCCGACCUGAGAGGGUGAUCGGCCACACUGGAACUGAGACACGGUCCAGACUCCUACGGGAGGCAGCAGUAGGGAAUCUUCCGCAAUGGGCGAAAGCCUGACGGAGCAACGCCGCGUGAGUGAUGAAGGUCUUCGGAUCGUAAAACUCUGUUAUUAGGGAAGAACAUAUGUGUAAGUAACUGUGCACAUCUUGACGGUACCGAAUCAGAAAGCCACGGCUAACUACGUG